rnacentral:rRNA from 1 species
UACGUAGGUGGCAAGCGUUGUCCGGAAUUACUGGGUGUAAAGGGAGCGCAGGCGGGAAGCCAAGUCAGCUGUGAAAACUACGGGCUUAACUUGUAGACUGCAGUUGAAACUGGUUUUCUUGAGUGAAGUAGAGGUUGGCGGAAUUCCGAGUGUAGCGGUGAAAUGCGUAGAUAUUCGGAGGAACACCGGUGGCGAAGGCGGCCAACUGGGCUUUAACUGACGUUGAGGCUCGAAAGCGUGGGGAGCGAACAGG